rnacentral:rRNA from 1 species
AGAGUUUGAUCAUGGCUCAGAUUGAACGCUGGCGGCAGGCCUAACACAUGCAAGUCGAACGGUAACAGGAAGAAGCUUGCUUCUUUGCUGACGAGUGGCGGACGGGUGAGUAAUGUCUGGGAAACUGCCUGAUGGAGGGGGAUAACUACUGGAAACGGUAGCUAAUACCGCAUAACGUCGCAAGACCAAAGAGGGGGACCUUCGGGCCUCUUGCCAUCGGAUGUGCCCAGAUGGGAUUAGCUAGUAGGUGGGGUAACGGCUCACCUAGGCGACGAUCCCUAGCUGGUCUGAGAGGAUGACCAGCCACACUGGAACUGAGGCACGGUCCAGACUCCUACGGGAGGCAGCAGUGGGGAAUAUUGCACAAUGGGCGCAAGCCUGAUGCAGCCAUGCCGCGUGUAUGAAGAAGGCCUUCGGGUUGUAAAGUACUUUCAGCGGGGAGGAAGGGAGUAAAGUUAAUACCUUUGCUCAUUGACGUUACCCGCAGAAGAAGCACCGGCUAACUCCGUGCCAGCAGCCGCGGUAAUACGGAGGGUGCAAGCGUUAAUCGGAAUUACUGGGCGUAAAGCGCACGCAGGCGGUUUGUUAAGUCAGAUGUGAAAUCCCCGGGCUCAACCUGGGAACUGCAUCUGAUACUGGCAAGCUUGAGUCUCGUAGAGGGGGGUAGAAUUCCAGGUGUAGCGGUGAAAUGCGUAGAGAUCUGGAGGAAUACCGGUGGCGAAGGCGGCCCCCUGGACGAAGACUGACGCUCAGGUGCGAAAGCGUGGGGAGCAAACAGGAUUAGAUACCCUGGUAGUCCACGCCGUAAACGAUGUCGACUUGGAGGUUGUGCCCUUGAGGCGUGGCUUCCGGAGCUAACGCGUUAAGUCGACCGCCUGGGGAGUACGGCCGCAAGGUUAAAACUCAAAUGAAUUGACGGGGGCCCGCACAAGCGGUGGAGCAUGUGGUUUAAUUCGAUGCAACGCGUAGAACCUUACCUGGUCUUGACAUCCACAGAACUUUCCAGAGAUGGAUUGGUGCCUUCGGGAACUGUGAGACAGGUGCUGCAUGGCUGUCGUCAGCUCGUGUUGUGAAAUGUUGGGUUAAGUCCCGCAACGAGCGCAACCCUUAUCUUUUGUUGCCAGCGGUCCGGCCGGGAACUCAAAGGAGACUGCCAGUGAUAAACUGGAGGAAGGUGGGGAUGACGUCAAGUCAUCAUGCCCCUUAUGACCUGGGCUACACACGUGCUACAAUGGACAGAACAAAGGGCAGCGAAACCGCGAGGUUAAGCCAAUCCCACAAAUC